rnacentral:rRNA from 1 species
GAUCCGAAGAUAUCCGAAUGGGGCAACCCUAAACACGACCACCUGAAUACAUAGGGUGGAGCGAGCAAACCUGGUGAACUGAAACAUCUUAGUAGCCAGAGGAAAAGAAAGCAACAGCGAUUCCCCCAGUAGCGGCGAGCGAAAAGGGAACAGCCUAAACCAAGUUCUGCGGAACUUGGGGUCGUGGGACAGUGACAAAAGACUGGGAAAUUUAGACGAAGCGGCUGAAAACCGCACCAGAGAAGGUGAAAGUCCUGUAGUCGAAAAAGGAACCAGCUUAACUGCAUCCCGAGUAGCAUGGGGCACGUGAAAUCCCGUGUGAAUCUGCCUCGACCACGAGGUAAGGCUAAAUAUUCCCGUGUGACCGAUAGAGAAACAGUACCGCGAGGGAAAGGUGAAAAGAACCCCGGAAGGGGAGUGAAAUAGAACAUGAAACCGUUAGCCUACAAGCAAUGGGAGGACGAUUGAACGUCUGACCGUGUGCCUGUUGAAGAAUGAGCCGGCGACUUACAGGUUAUGGCAGGUGAAGGGGGAAGACCCCACAGCCCCAGCGAAAGCGAGUCUGAAUAGGGCGAAGCGUCAUAAUUUGUAGACCCGAACCCGGGUGAUCUAACCAUGGCCAGGAUGAAGCUUGGGUAAAACCAAGUGGAGGUCCGAACCGACUAAUGUUGAAAAAUUAGCGGAUGAGCUGUGGUUAGGGGUGAAAUGCCAAUCGAACUCGGAGCUAGCUGGUUCUCCCCGAAAUGUGUUGAGGCGCAGCGGUAGUGGAAGUUUAGUCGGGGUAAAGCACUGUUUCGCCGCGGGCUGGGAGACCGGUACCAAGGCGAGGCAAACUCUGAAUACGGCUAAAAAAACUACCAGUGAGACGGUGGGGGAUAAGCUUCAUCGUCAAGAGGGAAACAGCCCAGACCACCAGCUAAGGUCCCCAAAUGAUAACUAAGUGAGAAAGGAGGUGGGAGUGCAUUGACAACCAGGAGGUUUGCCUAGAAGCAGCAAUCCUUAAAAGAGUGCGUAAUAGCUCACUGGUCAAGCGCUCCUGCGCCGAAAAUGAACGGGGCUAAGUUAUCUACCGAAGCUGUGGACUACAUUGUAGUGGUAGGGGAGCGUUCUAUAGGGGGUGAAGCAGUAGCGGCAAGCAGCUGUGGACUCUAUAGAAGUGAGAAUGUCGGCUUAAGUAGCGAAAAUGUGGGUGAGAAUCCCACACCCCGAAACCCCAAGGUUUCCUCCGCAAGGCUCGUCCGCGGAGGGUCAGUCAGGACCUAAGGCGAGGCUGAAAAGCGUAGUCGAUGGACAACGGGUUAACAUUCCCGUACCGAUUAAUGAUUGUGCCGGAGAACGGAGAAGGUCAACGUCAGCUGGAUGUUGGUUACCAGUGCAAGCAGUCGAGGCGAUGAGAGGUGGAGAAAACACCAGGAGCUAAGACGCGAGUCCCACCUCCCACGGGAGGGAAGUGGCGUUGAUCAAGCUUCCUAGAAAAGCCCGAACCACGUUAAUCAUUAAUUGCCUGUACCCGAAACCGACACAGGUGGGGAAGUAGAGAAUACUAAGGGGCGCGAGAUAACUCUCUCUAAGGAACUCGGCAAAAUGACCCCGUAACUUCGGGAGAAGGGGUACCCUCGCAAGAGGGUCGCAGUGAAUAGGCCCAGGCGACUGUUUACCAAAAACACAGGUCUCCGCCAAGUCGUAAGACGCAGUAUGGAGGCUGACGCCUGCCCAGUGCCGGAAGGUUAAGGAAGUUGGUCAGGAGUAAUCUAAAGCUGACGACCGAAGCCCCGGUGAACGGCGGCCGUAACUAUAACGGUCCUAAGGUAGCGAAAUUCCUUGUCGGGUAAGUUCCGACCCGCACGAAAGGCGUAACGAUCUGGGCACUGUCUCGGAGAGAGACUCGGCGAAAUAGGAUUGUCUGUGAAGAUACGGACUACCUGCACCUGGACAGAAAGACCCUAUGAAGCUUUACUGUAGCCUGGAAUUGGCUUCGGGCUUCGCUUGCGCAGGAUAGGUGGGAAGCUUUGAAACUCUCCUCGUGGGGAGAGUGGAGCUAACGGUGAGAUACCACUCUGGCGAGGCUAGAAUUCUAACCCUGACCCCUCAUCGGGGCGGGAGACAGUUUCAGGUGGGCAGUUUGACUGGGGCGGUCGCCUCCUAAAAGGUAACGGAGGCGCGCAAAGGUUCCCUCGGUCCCGUUGGAAAUGGGACGAUAGAGUGCAAAAGCAGAAGGGAGCUUGACUGUGAGACCCACAAGUCGAACAGGGACGAAAGUCGGCUUUAGUGAUCCGACGGCACCGCGUGGAAGGGCCGUCGCUCAACGGAUAAAAGUUACUCUAGGGAUAACAGGCUGAUCUCCCCCAAGAGUUCACAUCGACGGGGAGGUUUGGCACCUCGAUGUCGGCUCAUCGCAACCUGGGGCUGAAGUCGGUCCCAAGGGUUGGGCUGUUCGCCCAUUAAAGCGGUACGUGAGCUGGGUUCAGAACGUCGUGAGACAGUUCGGUCCAUAUCCGGUGUAGGCGUAAGAGCAUUGCGAGGAGCCUUCCUUAGUACGAGAGGACCGGGAAGGACGCACCGCUGGUGUACCUGUUAUCGUGCCAACGGUAAACGCAGGGUAGCCAUGUGCGGAGCGGAUAACCGCUGAAAGCAUCUAAGUGGGAAGCCCACCUCCAGAUGAUUGCUCUCAUGGCAUUAAGCCAGUAAGGUCUCGGGUAGACUACCCGUUGAUAGGCUCUAGAUGGAAGCUCGGUAACGAGUGCAGUCGAGGAGUACUAACCGACCGAGGGCUUGACCUG